rnacentral:lncRNA from 1 species
GGACUAAACACACGUCCGCACGGAUCCUCACAUACUCCCCCGUUCAAGCCCUGACGUCCUCGUUAUGCUAAGGGUUCAAAUUCAUUUGAAUAUAAUCACAAACACCACGAUCAGCCCAUGGUCAGCUCCAAUAGAUCCGUGCUGCAGUGUCCCCUAGUCCACAUAGGUUAUGGGCCGGGUCCGCUCUGAUACCAUUUGUAACAACCUAGGACCUCAUCCAAAAUGGC